rnacentral:rRNA from 1 species
GAUGAACGCUGGCGGCGUGCUUAACACAUGCAAGUCGAACGAGAAGUGGAGACGGAAACCUUCGGGCGGAAGACUUUACUUCGAGUGGCGGACGGGUGAGUAACGCGUGGGUAACCUGCCUCAUACAGGGGGAUAACAGUUGGAAACGACUGUUAAUACCGCAUAAGACCACAGCACCGCAUGGUGCGGGGGUAAAAACUCCGGUGGUAUGAGAUGGACCCGCGUUCGAUUAGCCAGAUGGCGGGGUAACGGCCCACCAAAGCGACGAUCGAUAGCCGAUCAGAGAGGAUGACCGGCCACAUUGGGACUGAGACACGGCCCAAACUCCUACGGGAGGCAGCAGUGGGGAAUAUUGCACAAUGGGGGAAACCCUGAUGCAGCGACGCCGCGUGAGUGAAGAAGUAUUUCGGUAUGUAAAGCUCUAUCAGCAGGGAAGAAAAUGACAGUACCUGAGUAAGAAGCCCCGGCUAACUACGUG